ACAAACGAGAGUUUGAUCCUGGCUCAGAAUCAACGCUGGCGGCGUGCCUCAGACAUGCAAGUCGAACGCGAAAGGUUCCUUCGGGGACCGAGUAGAGUGGCGUCCGGGUGAGUAACACGUAGGUAAUCUACCUCUGGGUGGGGAAUAACGACCGGAAACGGUCGCUAAUACCGCAUAAUGCAGCGGCACCACAUGGUGACAGUUGUUAAAGCGGGGGAUCGCAAGACCUCGCGC
rnacentral:rRNA from 1 species